UGACGACCGGCGCACGGGUGCGUAACGCGUAUGCAACUUGCCCAUUACUGGGGGAUAGCCCGGAGAAAUUCGGAUUAAUACCCCAUAGUACUACUAGAUGGCAUCUGAAGGUAGUUAAAGAUUUAUUGGUAAUGGAUAGGCAUGCGUGACAUUAGAUAGUUGGUGAGGUAACGGCUCACCAAGUCAGCGAUGUCUAGGGGGUCUGAGAGGAUGAUCCCCCACACUGGUACUGAGACACGGACCAGACUCC
rnacentral:rRNA from 1 species